UGAGAGGCACAGGAAUCCAGGGGCAGUACCAUGCCGUAGUAGUUGCUGUUGACCAUGAUGGGACUACGUCCGCGAAGUUUUGUUCAUUUCAAUCUGGUACCGCUACACUGCCCCGUGAUUUCAAGGAACCCUCCACAUCAGCCCGCUGGUGUAUGGAGCACAAUGCACUCCUUCUGGCAGCCACAGAACGCAGGCCAGAGAUGUAGACCUGCCUGAGCGCCUCAUGGGACAGCUGUAGGUCGAUGCCCUCCGGCG